GCUACAAAACCAGGUGAUCCCACCGUUCAAAAGAUCACUGCACAAGUGGCACUACCCGCACAACAGCAAAUAUCCAUCGCCGCCGCAGUCGACGCGUUCGCCGUCAAGAAGGACAAGGCAGCACCCAAGUCGGUGGUCCUGACUCCGGAGGCGGUCGGUGCUGGAGUCGUACGGCUACUCGGUACCUCAGUCCA
rnacentral:rRNA from 1 species